rnacentral:ncRNA from 1 species
CGACCUCAGGUCAGGCAAGACAACCCGCUGAGUUUAAGCAUAUCACUAAGCGGAGGAAAAGAAACUAACAAGGAUUUCCCUAGUAGCGGCGAGCGAAACGGAAAGAGCCCAGCUUGGAAAUCGGGGUGUCUCUGCACCCCGAAUUGUAGUCUGGAGAAGGGUCCUCUGCAGCGGACCGGGUUUAAGUCCCUUGGAACGGGACGCCAGAGAGGGUGAGAGCCCCGUCUAGCCCGGACCCUGCUGCAUCACGAGGCUCUUUCGGCGAGUCGGGCUGUUUGGGAAUGCAGCCUUAAGUGGGUGGUAAAUUCCAUCCAAGGCUAAAUACUGGUGAGAGACCGAUAGCGCACAAGUACCGCGAGGGAAAGAUGAAAAGGACUUUGAAAAGAGAGUUAAAAAGUGCUUGAAAUUGCUGGGAGGGAAGCGAAUGGAUGCCUUGUGCGCCCCUUGGUUGUGUGUGGAACGGCGAGAGCUGGUCUGCCAAGCAAUGCAAGGGGCUGUCCAGCAUGGGAGGACGCGGCGGGAUAACGGCUUGUGAGCCUCUGGCUCCCUGCCAAUGCCGCCGCUGCCUCUGAAAAUGGCGGGGUGCUCCGGUGCCCCGCCAGAUGCUGGAACUUGGGCGUUCCAUCCGACCCGUCUUGAAACACGGACCAAGGAGUCUAACAUGUAUGCGAGUCUGUGGGUGUUAAACCCGUACAGGCGAAAGGAAACUAAUUCGUGGGAUCCCCUUCGGGGGUGCACCACGGACCGACCUUGAUCUUUUGAGAAGGGUUUGAGUGUUAGCAUACCUGCUGGGACCCGAAAGAUGGUGAACUAUGCCUGAGCAGGGCGAAGCCAGAGGAAACUCUGGUGGAGGCUCGUAGCGAUACUGACGUGCAAAUCGUUCGUCAGACUUGGGUAUAGGGGCGAAAGACUAAUCGAACCAUCUAGUAGCUGGUACCCUCCGAAGUUUCCCUCAGGAUAGCUGGAGCUCUUGCUGAGUUUUAUCGGGUAAGCGAUGAUUAGAGGCAUCGGGGGUGAAAACACCCCUCGACCUAUUCUCAAACUUUAAAUAGGGGAUCCUCUAGAGCGACCUCAGCAUCAGCUGCCUGCCUCUUCCGUUCUUACCACGGUAUAUUUU